GUGUGUCUUUGCUGUGUAUCACCUUAAAACAGGCAACUAGAGUGAAAUGUAAUUAAGUGAAUAUAACAUUGUUUUAGUUUACAACAACUCAUUACAGGCAUGUAUUGUAGUUUCUAUAUGGGAUUAUAGUUGUCGCUAGAUGGUUUUUUUUCAGUUGGCUGCUGUAAACACAACCUUUCUGUUAAACUGAAUGCAAAGGGAGGGGCGAGGUGUGGUGAGCACACCAAUUUGUUUUAGUCUGAGACACUGGUGGUCUUAUACAGCAUCCAGUAGUUCUGAAUGUCGUAGACAGCACCUUUCAGAGAAUUAUUUUUCCUCCAGGACUACAGCUUCAUAUGAAUUCUUCUUAACAGUAAAAUAAUUGACAAUAGCGCUGGAAGAAAUAUAGAAAAAUAAAUAAAUAAAUAAUGAGUAACUGUGAAAUGUACAUAUAAUGUCAUACUCUCAACCCAGGCUAAUAUGCACACAUCUCAGUUCUUAUUUUCUGGUGUUUAUUCUUUCUUAACAACUUGGGAAAACUGGUCUACAGGAACACAAAUAUAAACCAUGGACACCAAAGCAUAUUAUACAUGGUUCACUUUACUUAGAUUAAUUAGUUAUGUUGUUAGGAUCUCUAAAUUUGAUGUGCAGUUGUUGUCCCAAUAGACUUUUUACAGUGGUUAUGUGCUGCCACCCCCUGACCUGAGACAGCAUUGCUCUGCAAUGACAUCACUUGGCAAAUACAGAAGAUCACUGAAAUUGAGAGGAUAGUUUGGAUCCUGUACGACUGGUACAGAGACUAUUAUGAAUAAUCAUGACACAACUUGACAAUUUACAGCAUAUGCUCAGACUCAGCCCACAUUAUGACCUUACUUGGCAUGCAAAACAAUUAUAGCACACAGAAGCAGGCACACCCAUGCAUGCUUAAAUGCACACAGAACACUCACCAUACUCAAAACAUCCUUUAAAACAUCCUCCUACAGAGCAUAUCCAAGACUGAAAAUGCUUCAAGCUAACAUGUAAGGCCAAUUUAUUAUUCCUUUUUCUUAAACAUGUGCUUAAUGUCAAAUUGAAGUAUUAGAUUCAAAAUCAAUCAAAUAAUAAUGAGAACUAGAUGUCCAAAGACAAAAACACCAAGCAGUACAAAAAGGAUGUCUUAACAUUCAACAAACUGUACCUACACUGAUGUACUAAUCAAUUCAGCACUGACAGACCCAACCUUCACAAUCUCUUUUUCUCCUCGUCCCAUAUACGUAGGAAGGGGAGUUAUUUGCUUCCGCAUCAUUGUAAUGAAUUUAAAAUAUGUUUAUUUUAGACACAGUAUAUUUGUUUUUGACUAAUGAAUGAGAUGGUAGAGCUGCAUUUGCCUACAUUCUAGCCAGCUUUCACUAGAAUUCUGACUUCAGCAUGUAACAUAUCCAGCAGCAAGGAAAUAGAGAAAUGAACAGCAGAGGGACAAUACUAUCAGCUGGCUAAUCAUGAAAUCUGGUAGUUACCUGCAUACAGCAUAAGCUUAGAAGUGACAGUCAACAGUUCACUCAUAUUCCAGCUGUCAAUGCUUAAACAGUGAAAACAGCUCAAUAGAAAUGAUACUAAUGUCUACUAGGAAGCCUAAGGUAGGUCAUUUCCUGUAGAAAAACAAUCCAUGAUGUCAAUCCUUCCAAAAGGAAGACAAACAGCAACCCCAGUGGGAAAUAGUCAUUAGUAUUGUAGUAUUUACACCAGCCAACCAGGUCAGAAUGAGGGAGAAAACAUGAUUUCUCAGAAACAAAGCUGAGAUAAUCAAAAUUGGUGGCUACAAUAUAAUGCUUCAAGGUUGUAACAUUAACCGUAAGAAUACUGUGUGUCUGUGUUCAGUAGCAUUAGAGAUACAGUUCAGAAAGGGGAAAAACACUUCGGAGACCACUGGUCCCUCUCACUUCACCGAUGUCCUAAAAUGUCAUUAUUUGUCAAACAAACAGACGAAUACCCAAAGGUAACAGGGUAACUAACAUUAAUCAUGAUUCCAGUUGUAAAAAGCACUGUGAAUAGUGCGUGAAUAGAGUUUAAGAAUAACAGCCCAAAGUCUUACAGUCGUUAUUUUAAUUUUAAUGUUUGAAUAUUUAUGGAAAUGUGUAACAAAUGGGGGAUUUACUAUAUAUUCAAAAUAAACUAAACAUACUCAAACAUAGUUGUUCAUGUUACAGUCUUUCAGUGUCUGAAAUGGUGUGCUGUUUUGGCCAGGUCUCCCUCGGGAAAGAGGUUUUUAAUCUCAAGGGACUUUCUGGUAAAAUAAAGGUUAAAAAAAGCAAGAAGUCUGCAUACAGAUUUCUAUUCCCUUUUGUGAGCCUUUAGGGAAGUCUUUCUUCCCAGGCAACAUAAGUACACUGGCAAAACACCAAGUCUGAGAAAACGGAGUGUAAAUUUGAGGGGGAAAAAUCCUUUCCCUGGUUUUUCCAUAACCCAUAACUCACACAAAUAUGACAUAACAGAUAUCGGGUUGUGUGUUUGUACAUAGUACAGAAACCUAUUCAGAUUCAUCGUUCGUUACACAGUGAAGGAGUUGGUGUGCAAUUUAAUCACUGUUAUUCGGAAUUCAAUUCUUUGAAAACUGUUAUACUGUGUUAUGUUAUUGCACUGCAUUAUUUAACUGCUACAACGUUACCUGGUACCCUUACUGCAGUGUUUCUAAUUUUAUAUAAAGUUCAAUAGCAUGGCCACACGACAUAAGAAAAAAAUUACUUUGGGAUAUUUUGUUUUUAUGCAAAAAUAAAUGUGCAAAAAUUUUCACCAGAUGAUUUUAUUAUUUGUCAUGUUGUCUGGUGAGGUAGAAACAACUGCAAGGACACUGAAAAUGCCAUUGUUAUUUUCAGUUAACAUCUUUUCUGUAGCCAAAAUAUUUCAAUACAUCUGGCAGUGCAUCUUAAUUUUCUAUUUUUCUCUCCUAUUCCUUAUUAAUUUUGCUGUGUGCAUUUGGAGGCUGCAUGUCAACAAACUGUCUUGUGAAUACAAUAAAUAAAUAAAUAAAUGUUUCCAAGAUCCCUUAAAUUGGAGUAAAUUUUGUUACAUAAGACAGAUUUUUCUUGUGGAUUAGCCAUGGGAAAUGAGAACCAUGUGCACUUCACAUAACAUUCAUUUCAACUUUACACAAAACUCAUGUAAGCCUUGUUAAGACUGGACACUGAAGACCAUCAGGGUGUUAGGCUGACACCAGAGUUUACCCAGCAACCAAGACAGCAAUACACCACUGGCAUUGGUUAUGAUCACUUAAACAAGUACAAUUAUAGACACAUUUGAUCAUCAGGACAUUAAAAUAACUGCAGAAUAAGGAAAUACUUGAUUUGUACUGUACAGCCUGAAUGUAAAGUGGCAGACACUGUUAUAAAUGGACGAAUGGAGGGGAAAGGAUAUUAAAACUAGGAAACAUUUACAGUGAAAGUAUGAUUAGCCUUGUUCCGUAUUUCUAUCACAACAGACCAAAGUUCGCUGAAGUUAUUUACAAGCAUAAAUCAUCCCUCAAUACUACUUAUAUCACUUUCAACGACCCAUUUUGCUGUACAGUUCUUGUCUACUAACAACAUCCAGCUCAGCCAUGACUUCAUUUCCUGUAAUAAAAGUACGCUUCGUUAAAACCUUUUGUUUUGAUUUCCAAUUACACUUGCAAUGUUUACAAGUAACGCAAACAUACGAAAUAUUUCUCAGAUGGCCUUAAGCGAAUAUUCGGACACGUAGCCAACCUAUAUAUAGGCCAACCAAACACAAACCUCGGACUCGCAGGAAAUGGUAGCUUCUAACCAAACAGUGCAAAGCUAGCAUACAUCGCCUUCACUAGCAUUAAUAUUUUCGCAGCCAUGAACGAUACACAAACCCGUCAGAUCUUAUCAAACAGAGUUGACCGUCCGUGGCACCAGGAUGCUUUUAGGAAACCCAAAGCUUCCUUUUACUGGAUAACAUCAUCAUCUUGUGCUUUCCUUCUUGGCUACAUCCCAGAUCCUUCAUCCACCAUCGCUUCUCUUCCAGGGUUCAGCUAUAAGACAAAAGCAUAUGUCUCAGCUCUUUUCACAAACUGCUUGUGAACAUUUAUUUAUUCAAUAAAAGAAGGAAAUUAGAAAACUA